AGUUGGCGUGACUCGCGAGGUCAAUACCUUAUUCCAAUUAAAACCGAUACAUCAUCUAUAUGCACGGGUUACAAACACUAGAACAAGCUUCCAUCCUUAAAGGAAAAGAAAUAGCUGAGAAGUACAUAACAGUCUCAUCCAUGCACAACUAACCUCAGCAAGACCUUUUGUACCAAAAACCAUUAAAGCCACCACCCCAAUAACCAGAGCCUCAGGUGCUCCAACCCCAAACAAAGAUGCU
rnacentral:misc_RNA from 1 species